AGAGUUUGAUCCUGGCUCAGGAUGAACGCUGGCGGCGUGCCUAACACAUGCAAGUCGAACGAAGCUCCUGCGACAGAUUCCUUCGGGAUGAAGAUGCUUGAGACUUAGUGGCGGACGGGUGAGUAACGCGUGGGUAACCUGCCCUGUACUGGGGGACAACAGUUAGAAAUGACUGCUAAUACCGCAUAAGCCUACGGAGUCGCAUGACUCAGCAGGAAAAAUUCCGGUGGUACAGGAUGGGCCCGCGUCUGAUUAGCUAGUUGGUGAGGUAAUGGCUUACCAAGGCGACGAUCAGUAGCCGGCUUGAGAGAGUGAACGGCCACAUUGGGACUGAGACACGGCCCAAACUCCGUACGGGAGGCA
rnacentral:rRNA from 1 species